GCCGGAGUGGCGGAACUGGCAGACGCACAGGACUUAAAAUCCUGGGGUCUGAAGAAGACCGUGCCGGUUCGAGUCCGGCCUCCGGCACCA
rnacentral:tRNA from 1 species